rnacentral:rRNA from 1 species
AUGUGAUCGUCUCUCGCAUAUCAAUAAGCGGAGGAAAAGAAACUAACAAGGAUUCCCCUAGUAACGGCGAGUGAAGCGGGAAGAGCUCAAAUUUGAAAUCUUAAAGGGUUUCCCUUUACGAAUUGUAGUUUAAAGAAGUGUUUUCUGUUGAGGUUUUGGUAAAAGUUCUUUGGAAUAGGACAUCAUAGAGGGUGAGAAUCCCGUAUUUGACCUUUACUUUCAACUUUGUGAUACACUUUCAAAGAGUCGGAUUGUUUGGGAAUGCAGUCCAAAAUGGGUGGUAAAUUUCAUCUAAAGCUAAAUAUUGGCGAGAGACCGAUAGCGAACAAGUACCGUGAGGGAAAGAUGAAAAGAACUUUGAAAAGAGAGUUAAACAGUACGUGAAAUUGUCAAAAGGGAAGCGUUUGACACCAGUGUUGUUUUUCUGAAAAUCAAUUAAAGAACUGUUUAUGCUAAGCUUGUUUAGACUUUAUCAGCUAUCUGUUUAGUUUUGAGCUUUUCUUUAAUGCACUUUUCAGUUAACAAGUCAACAUCAAUUUCUUUUGCUGUAAAAAAGCUUGAGGAAGGUGGCUUGAGAUUCGUCUUAAGUGUUUAUAGCCUCUUGCCUAUGCAGUCGGAGAGAUUGAGGUCUGCAGCGUAGAUCCUUCGGGGCUAAAUGCAUUUGUGCUAAGUUAUAACAUUUUAUAGACAACUUGUUGACUAUGAUUUGUCUUGUAGCUUACUCGCUUAUGUUAUUUUACCUACGCUUAGGAUGUUGAAUCUGUGCGAGACUAC